GAUGAACGCUGGCGGCGUGCCUAAUACAUGCAAGUCGAGCGAAUGGAUUAAGAGCUUGCUCUUAUGAAGUUAGCGGCGGACGGGUGAGUAACACGUGGGUAACCUGCCCAUAAGACUGGGAUAACUCCGGGAAACCGGGGCUAAUACCGGAUAACAUUUUGAACCGCAUGGUUCGAAAUUGAAAGGCGGCUUCGGCUGUCACUUAUGGAUGGACCCGCGUCGCAUUAGCUAGUUGGUGAGGUAACGGCUCACCAAGGCAACGAUGCGUAGCCGGCCUGAGAGGGUGAUCGGCCACACAGGGACUGAGACACGGCCCAGACUCCUACGGGAGGCAGCAGUAGGGAAUCUUCCGCAAUGGGCGAAAGUCUGACGGAGCAACGCCGCGUGAGUGAUGAAGGCUUUCGGGUCGUAAAACUCUGUUGUUAGGGAAGAACAAGUGCUAGUUGAAUAAGCUGGCACCUUGACGGUACCUAACCAGAAAGCCACGGCUAACUACGUGCCAGCCGCCGCGGUAA
rnacentral:rRNA from 1 species